rnacentral:rRNA from 1 species
UACGUAGGGGGCAAGCGUUGUCCGGAAUCAUUGGGCGUAAAGAGCGUGUAGGCGGCUCGAUAAGUCUGCUGUGAAAGUCCAGGGCUCAACCCUGGAAUGCCGGUGGAUACUGUCGGGCUCGAGUCCGGAAGAGGCGAGUGGAAUUCCUGGUGUAGCGGUGAAAUGCGCAGAUAUCAGGAGGAACACCAAUGGCGAAGGCAGCUCGCUGGGACGGUACUGACGCUGAGACGCGAAAGCGUGGGGAGCAAACAGG